rnacentral:rRNA from 1 species
GAUGGGGACAACAGCUGGAAACGGCUGCUAAUACCGAAUACGAUCAAACGGCCGCAUGGCCGGAUGAUGAAAGGAUGGCCUCUAUAUAUAAGCUAUCGCCGGAGGAGGGGUUUUGCGUCUGAUUAGCUGGUUGGAGGGGUAACGGCCCACCAAGGCGACGAUCAGUAGCCGGUCUGAGAGGACGAACGGCCACAUUGGAACUGAGACACGGUCCAGACUCCUACGGGAGGCAGCAGUGGGGAAUCUUCCGCAAUGGGCGAAAGCCUGACGGAGCAACGCCCGCGUGAGUGAAGACGGCCUUCGGGUCGUAANGCUCUGUUAUAUGGGACGAACGUAUCUAUGGCCAAUACCCAUAGAUAGUGACGGUACCGUAAGAGAAAGCCACGGCUAACUACGUGCCAGCAGCCGCGGUAAUACGUAGGUGGCAAGCGNUGUCCGGAAUUAUUGGGCGUAAAGGGCGCGCAGGCGGCCGGUCAAGUCUGUCUUAAAAGUGCGGGGCUCAACCCCGUGAUGGGACGGAAACUGGCAGGCUGGAGUGUCGGAGAGGAAAGCAGAAUCUCCUAGUGUAGCGGUGAAAUGCGUAGAUAUUAGGAGGAAUACCAGUGGCGAAAGCGGCUUUUCUGGACGACAACUGACGCUGAGGCGCGAAAGCCAGGGGAGCAAACGGGAUUAGAUACCCCGGUAGUCCUGGCCGUAAACGAUGGGUACUAGGUGUAGGAGGUAUCGACCCCUUNUGUGCCGGAGUUAACGCAAUAAGUAUCCCGCCUGGGGAGUACGGCCGCAAGGCUGAACUCAAAGGAAUUGACGGGGGCCCGCACAAGCGGUGGAGUAUGUGGUUUAAUUCGACGCAACGCGAAGAACCUUACCAAGCCUUGACAUUGAUUGAACGAGGCAGAGAUGCCUUUUUCCUCUUCGGAGGACAAGAAAACAGGUGGUGCACGGCUGUCGUCAGCUCGUGUCGUGAGAUGUUGGGUUAAGUCCCGCAACGAGCGCAACCCCUAUCUUCUGUUACCAGCACGUAAGGGUGGGGACUCAGGAGAGACUGCCGCAGACAAUGCGGAGGAAGGCGGGGAUGACGUCAAGUCAUCAUGCCCCUUAUGGCUUGGGCUACACACGUACUACAAUGGCUCUCAAUAGAGGGACGCGAAGGAGCGAUCCGGAGCAAACCCCAAAAACAGAGUC